AUUGAACGCUGGCGGCAGGCCUAACACAUGCAAGUCGAGCGAGCGGCGGACGGGUGUGUAAUGUCUGGGAAACUGCCUGAUGGAGGGGGAUAACUACUGGAAACGGUGGCUAAUACCGCAUACCCUCAGGUGUGACCCGAUGGGAUUAGCUAGUAGUUGGGGUAACGGCUCACCUAGGCGACGCUCCCUAGCUGGUCUGAGAGGAUGACAAGCCACACUGGAACUGAGACACGGUCCAGACUCCGACGGGAGGCAGCAGUGGGGAAUAUUGCACAAUGGGCGCAAGCCUGAUGCAGCCAUGCCGCGUGUGUGAAGAAGGCCUUCGGGUUGUAAAGCACUUUCAGCGGGGAGGCGUUACCCGCAGAAGAAGCACCGGCUAACUCCGUGCCAGCAGCCGCGGUAAUUC
rnacentral:rRNA from 1 species